UUCCACUGCCUUCUCAAGCUGGGGAAGGAACUUUACCCUGUCUUUGGUGGAAGGGUGAUAAUUUCCAUGGUCAGGCAUGAGACCCAAAAGCCUCUGAUUCAGAAAUCUGCCUUCAGAAUAUAGCCACAUUGGAGGAAUCUGUUGUCCUGAGAUCCAUCUUGUUUGAAUACGGGCAUCUUCUGACACAGAGAAGAGGUAAUAAUGUCAGUCACAGUUACAGGGGAUUAAGGAUGCAGUAAUAUGGUUUGUCUGGGUUGCUGACGCUCAAUACCAUGUGUGUCCAAUAUGGAGACUAGUCACUGGUCACUUGGGAUUUUCCAAUUUAUUUAUGGAUGAUUCCGUGGAAGCUCCCAACGUUCUAAUGGGUGCUGAUAGAUUUGGAGGGAGAAUGGUGUCAUAAAGCAGGCAGUAGCUAAUAGGAAGGCCAGAUAUCUAGCCAGAAGAUGGGGUUGGGUGGAGAGAAUGGUGGGGAGAUACAGCAACCCUGACUGGCUGAGUCUAGGCAGGUGAGAGCCUGUAAGGCAGGCAUGACAAUACUUUCCUCUGGCUCCUAACUUAGGGAGAUCAUCUCAGUGUGUCUUAUAAGUGUUCAUUAACAACGUUACUUAUAAUUUGCAGGUGAUAUUUUCAUGUGGGUUCCCAAAUAGGGAGGAUCAUAAGGAACAGGGCAGCCAUAGGAACCCAGUGCCAAGUGUGGGCUAAGGUGCUAAGGCAGGAGAUCCUUCAGGGAACUGUGAUACCCUAAGGAGAGUAGGAAAGGAGGUACUUGGACUGAGGCUUGGAAGAUGAUAGGUGUUUCCCAGUGCACAAGGCCAAGAAGGGCAUCCCAGGUAAGCCAGAGCACAGCGUUACAUAUGCUUGGCUAUUUAAAGAAACAGGAAAGUUUGUCCUGCUCCAAAGUGAAAAAUGUCUUCACUCUCUUCUCUCCUUUGAAUCAGAUUCUCUUUAUUUUCAGAAUCAAAGACUAUUGCUCUUUUAAGUCUGAAACUUAGGAAGGCUUCUACAGGCUUCCUUCCACUUUCUGAUUGGAUUUGAGGCCCAUUCCACAGAAGGGAAUCCACAUUUAAUAUUGCAAACCUGGCCUGAAACUCACGGCUGAGGAGAUCAUAGACAUGAGUGGGGGAAGUUAUUUCUGAUGUUUGAAUGUGAUGUGCCCACCAAAUGCUUUCCAUAUGUUGUGGCCUUGCCCGUGGCCCCAUGCUGUCGUUUGCUCUUCUCUGAGAACCUUCUCCUUGCUCUGAGCAGCACUUAAUAAAGAGGCUCUUAUGUAACUAGUCAAGACUCAGAAAUUAUUUGAGGUGCUUGGUCUUAAAUGGGACAUCUCCAUCACUCCUUCCAAGGCUCAUGGAAGAGAGGGCCGGAAGAAUGUGUGAGUCAGAGGAAGGGUUAGAGUGAUGUGGGACACUGUUGCCUUCUGGGCAUUACAUGGCUGUUGCCCUUUCUGACUUCCAGCAGCUUUGAUUGCCUACACAAAACCAGUGUAAGAUUUGGCUCACCAACAACAUUCUGUCACAGAGCAGGGAGCGUCUCAUGAGGCCCUGCCACUCUGGGAAGACUUGUAGGCAGUUAAAGGUUGCUAGGAGAGAGGGUCUCGAAGGCACAGCCUUUCCCUGAGAAUCUGUGGGCAGUUAGUGGGAUCUGGGGAGAGUUAGAAAUACUUUGUUUAGUGGUGUGGCUACUGGUAAGUUGUCCUGCUCCUUCAGUCAAUUCACCAAGGGGAAAAGUGGGAGGGGCCAAGAGGGGCCAUGGGGAUGAAUGGGCCAGAUUGGCCUGGCUUCCUAUAAAAGGACUAUUUGGCCCCUCCUCUCCCUCUUACUCUCUUACUCCUUUACCCUCUUAGUCUCUUGCUUUCUCUGCCUCUUUGUCUCUUCUCCUUCCUCUUCCUCCUUCCCGAACCUCUCUCCAUGUGUUCCUGGCCAGCCUCUUUUCUCCUCUUCUCUCUUUCUCUCUCUGUCCUUCUCUGCCUCUACUCCCUUCUCAACUCCCUUUCUCUGUCCCUAAGUAUACUCUAGUCUAUACUAUACCUGUUAUAUGGCUGGUACCUCAGCAGAAGGGAUGCCUCAGUAUGGGCCCACCAAGGCACCCCUCCCACCUCACCAUACCUGCUCUAUCAAAUGUGGUUUUUAUAUUAAAAGCUUUUAAACUUGGUUUUAUUUUAUGUGUAUGAGUGUUUUGCAUGUAUGUAUGUAUGUAUGUAUGUAUGUAUGUAUGUAUGUAUAUCUUCCAAUUUGUGUACAGUGGCUGAAGUAGUCAGAAAAGGUAUUGAAUCUCCUUGGGACUAGUUACAGGGAGUUGUGAACCACCACCUGGAUGCUGGGAAUUGAACUCAGGUCCUCUGGAAGAGCAGAGCAGCAAGUGGGCUCUUAACCACUAAGCCAUCUCUCCAGCUGAUUUUACCAAAAGUUUCUUGAGUUUCUGCUGUUGUCUUUCCUCAGAGACAGUUCAGUACUAACUGGUCUGUUGCCCCCAGAGGUUAUUAGGGUUUUGGGGUCCUUUUGUGUGGUUACCAGUCAAUACUGGUAAAAUCAGGCUCCCCUUUUGGAGUUCUUAGUCUUAUUAAUAGAAGAAUUUAAGAGUGGACUCACAUGGAAAUUUGAGGACAAUUUUAUUACAGUUUAAAAGAAACCCAUCCCACGGCAGUAGGGCAGGCAAGCCUUAACCUCAGCUGCUGCUGGGGGAGGAAAGUGGAGGAGAGAGGAGAAAACCCAGGCUAUGUAAGCCAGCAUGGAGGUCAGGCGCCUGGCAGAGAGGCAGUCAUAUGGUGGGAGGGGGCUUGAGGGAAAGAAUAAGAAGCCCACGGUGUUAGGGAAAAGCCCAGAGAGUUUAAAACAAAUGCUUAGAAAAGAGAAGAAAAGGAAAAGCUGUGCUUUCUGAGUAAUUCAGAAAAGAGGGUAGACUUAGGCUCGAAUGGCUGCAGCUUGCUUGUAAGCUUCUGAUGCCUUGCUUUGCUUUUCUUUUAAACACAUUAAUUUGUGUUUGUGUGAGUAUAUGCAUGGGCUCACAUGCCAGAGUGCACACAUGAAGGCCAGAGAAGAACCCACGGGACACAGUUCUCUUCUUCCAUCACGUGGGUUCUGGGGAUUGAACUCAAGCCGACAGGCUUGGAAGCGAGUUCCUUUACCUGCCAAGCCAACUUGUUUUGAGACAGAGUCCUAUGUAGCCCAGGAUGGACCAUACCUUGCCAAGGAUGUCUACAUUUCUGAUUCUUCUGAUUCCACCUUCCAAGCGCUGAAAGUAGAGGAUGAACUAACACACCUAGGUUAUGUGGUGCUGGAGACUGAGCGCAGGGCCCUGUGCGUGAUACACCGACAUUCUACCAGCCAACCUCACCUCCAGCCUCCUCCGCUCUUUAAAACCAUAAUGCAGCAUCUAUUCUUUCAUGUUAAUAAAUACUAUUUUACAAAUUGUUCUUAUUGGCUACACAGUGUCUUAUAUAUCUGAACUAUAAAUAAGCAUUUAUGUAUUGUUAAAAGUAUUUUGAACUUUUUUAUAUGCAAAUCUCACAAUAAGCACUGGUGCAUGUAAAUGCUAUGUACAUUUCUGGUUAAAAUAAAUAUUUUUAAAAAAU
rnacentral:lncRNA from 1 species